GAUGAACGCUAGCGGCAGGCCUAACACAUGCAAGUCGAGGGGUAACUAGAGUGAUAGCAAUAUUACUUUGGCUAGACCGGCGCACGGGUGCGUAACACGUAUGCAACCUACCUUAUACUGGGGAAUAACUUCGAGAAAUCGGCGCUAAUACCCCAUAACAUUGCGAAGAGGCAUCUCUUUGCAAUUAAAGCUCCGGCGGUAUAAGAUGGGCAUGAGUCCAAUUAGCUAGUUGGUGAGGUAACGGCUCACCAAGGCUACGAUUGGUAGGGGUUCUGAGAGGGUGAUCCCCCACACUGGUACUGAGGCACGGACCAGACUCCUACGGGAGGCAGCAGUGAGGAAUAUUGCGCAAUGGACGAAAGUCUGACGCAGCCAUGCCGCGUGCAGGAUGACGGCCCUAUGGGUUGUAAACUGCUUUUGUACGGGAAUAAACCCUUCUACGUGUAGGAGGCUGAAGGUACCGUAAGAAUAAGCACCGGCUAACUCCGUGCCAGCCGCCGCCGUAAAAC
rnacentral:rRNA from 1 species